GGGCAGCAGCAAGGAAUUUUGGGCAAUGGGCGAAAGCCUGACCCAGCGACACCGCGUGGGGGAUGAAGGCCCUCGGGUUGUAAACCCCUUUUCUCAGGGAAGAAUAAUGACGGUACCUGAGGAAUAAGUCUCGGCUAACUACGUGCCAGCAGCCGCGGUAAUACGUAGGAGGCGAGCGUUAUCCGGAUUUACUGGGCGUAAAGAGGGCGUAGGUGGCUUUUCAAGUCGGAUGUAAAAUCUCCCGGCUUAACUGGGAGGGACCAUUCGAUACUGUUGGGCUAGAGUGCAGCAGAGGGAGACGGAAUUCCCGGUGUAGUGGUGAAAUGCGUAGAUAUCGGGAGGAACACCAGUGGCGAAGGCGGUCUCCUGGGCUGUUACUGACACUGAGGCCCGAAGGCGUGGGGAGCGAACAGGAUUAGAUACCCGAGUANUC
rnacentral:rRNA from 1 species